AGCAGCCGCGGUAAUUCCAGCUCCAAUAGCGUAUAUUAAAGUUGUUGCAGUUAAAAAGCUCGUAGUUGAAUUUCGGGAUCAGUACGCCGGUCGUGCCUUCGGUAUGCACUGGUGUCACUGGUUUCUCCCUUCUGAAGAACCAUCAUGCCAUUAAGUUGGUGUGGCGGGGAAUCAGGACUGUUACUUUGAAAAAUUAGAGUGUUUAAAGCAGGCUCGCGCUUGAAUACAUUAGCAUGGAAUAAUGAAAUAGGACGUUUGACCCUAUUUUGUUGGUUUCUAGGAUCGACGUAAUGAUUAAUAGGGAUAGUUGGGGGCAUUAGUAUUCAAUUGUCAGAGGUGAAAUUCUUGGAUUUAUUGAAGACUAACUACUGCGAAAGCAUUUGCCAAGGAUGUUUUCAUUAAUCAAGAACGAAAGUUAGGGGAUCGAAGACGAUCAGAUACCGUCGUAGUCUUAACCAUAAACUAUGCCGACUAGGGAUCGGAUGAUGUUAAUUUUUAAUGUACU
rnacentral:misc_RNA from 1 species